rnacentral:rRNA from 1 species
UACGGAGGAUCCGAGCGUUAUCCGGAUUUAUUGGGUUUAAAGGGUGCGUAGGCGGGCUUAUAAGUCAGCGGUGAAAGUUUGCGGCUCAACCGUAAAAUUGCCGUUGAUACUGUGAGUCUUGAGUGUAGAUGAGGUGGGUGGAAUUCGUGGUGUAGCGGUGAAAUGCAUAGAUAUCACGAAGAACUCCAAUUGCGUAGGCAGCUCACUGGGCUACAACUGACGCUGAGGCACGAAGGUGCGGGGAUCAAAC